rnacentral:rRNA from 1 species
GUAGGGUGCGAGCGUUGUCCGGAAUUAUUGGGCGUAAAGGGCUCGUAGGCGGUUUGUCGCGUCGGGAGUGAAAACCUCGGGCUUAACUCGGGGCUUGCUUUCGAUACGGGCAGACUGGAGGUAUGCAGGGGAGAACGGAAUUCCUGGUGUAGCGGUGAAAUGCGCAGAUAUCAGGAGGAACACCGGUGGCGAAGGCGUUUCUCUGGGCAUGACCUGACGCUGAGGAGCGAAAGUGUGGGGAGCGAACAGGAUUAGAUACCCUGGUAGUCCACACCGUAAACGUUGGGCGCUAGGUGUGGGAUCCAUUCCACGGGUUCCGUGCCGCAGCUAACGCAUUAAGCGCCCCGCCUGGGGAGUACGGCCGCAAGGCUA